rnacentral:rRNA from 1 species
GACGAACGCUGGCGGCGUGCUUAACACAUGCAAGUCGAACGAAGUGGCGAACGGGUGAGUAACGCGUAAUCAACCUGCCCUUCAGAGGGGGACAACAGUUGGAAACGACUGCUAAUACCGCAUACUGAAGGAGGGGAUUGCGUCUGAUUAGCUAGUGGGAGGGGUAAAGGCCCACCAAGGCGAUGAUCAGUAGCCGGGCUGGGGGGGUUAACGGCCACAUUGGGACUGGGACACGGCCCAGACUCCUACGGGAGGCAGCAGUGGGGAAUCUUCCGCAAUGGACGAAAGUCUGACGGAGCAACGCCGCGUGAGGGAUGACGGCCUUCGGGUUGUAAAACUCUGUUAAUCGGGACGCGGUACCGGAAUAGAAAGCCACGGCUAACUACGUGCCAGCAGCCGCGGUAAUAC